GCGAAAUCCUGGUGAUCUUCUCUAUCUAAUGAAUGGGGAGUCCUCUUUAAAAUCGUCCGCCCGUAACCCAGCAGAUAAAGU
rnacentral:tRNA from 1 species